rnacentral:rRNA from 1 species
UCCUGCAUUCCUGCAGGAUUGACGGUACCAGAGGAAUAAGCMCCGGCUAACUCCGUGCCARCAGCCGCGGWAAUACGGAGGGUGCAAGCGUUAUCCGGAUUCACUGGGUUUAAAGGGUGCGUAGGCGGGUAGGUAAGUCUGUGGKGAAAUCCCCAAGCUUAACUUGGGAACUGCCAUGGAUACUAUUUAUCUUGAAUAUUGUGGAGGUGAGCGGAAUAUGUCAUGUAGCGGUGAAAUGCUUAGAUAUGACAUARAACACCAAUUGCGAAGGCAGCCUGCUACACAAUUAUUGACGCUGAGGCACGAAAGCGUGGGGAUCAAACAGGAUUAGAUACCCUGGUAGUCCACGCCCUAAACGAUGAUUACUCGACAUUUGCGAUAUACUGUAAGUGUCUGARCGAAAGCAUUAAGUAAUCCACCUGGGAAGUACGACCGCAAGGUUGAAACUCAAAUGAAUUGACGG